GCCCGGUUAGCUCAAUCGGUCAGUCACUCACUCGAAAUACCUAAAACGGAAAGCUAACUCCAAAUAGGUAGAGCGUGAGACUCUUAUGUGAGACAAUCUCAAGGUUGCGGGUUCGACCCCCGCAUCGGGCU